rnacentral:rRNA from 1 species
AUUUGACCUCAAAUCAGGUAGGAGUACCCGCUGAACUUAAGCAUAUCAAUAAGCGGAGGAAAAGAAAAUAACAAUGAUUCCCCUAGUAACUGCGAGUGAAGAGGGACGAGCUCAAAUUUUAAAUCUGUUAGGUUUACCUAACCGAGUUGUAAUUUGAAGAGGCGUUUUCUGUGUUUCUGAUCAGCCCAAGUCCUUUGGGAUAGGGCAUCAUGGAGGGUGAGAAUCCCGUUCGGUUGGUCAGAUUCGCUUUACGAUACGUCAUCUAAGAGUCAAGUUGUUUGGGAUUGCAGCUUAAAAUGGGAGGUAAAUUUCUCCUAAGGCUAAAUAACGGCGAGAGACCGAUAGCGAACAAGUACCGUGAGGGAAAGAUGAAAAGAACUUUGAAAAGAGAGUUAAACAGUACGUGAAAUUGUUGAAAGGGAAACGAUUGAAGCCAGUCGUACCUUCGGGUAAUCAGCCUUUCGGGUGCGAUUCUGUGGAGCGUGAGGAGUUAAACGCCUUCAUGCCUGCAUAUUCGUGCACUUUGGGUGUACUUGCCCGUGUGGUAGGUUAACAUCAAUUUCGGAUAUCAUAAAAUGGCUGGAGGAAUGUAGCUUCGGUCUCGUACUGAAGUGUUAUAGCCUCUGGUAGAUGUGAUGACCGGGAUUGAGGAUUGCAACGAAUACCUUUUGGGCUACCCGCCUGAUCUCUGAAAGUUGCUCUGGUGCCGAAAGCUUGCUUACGGUUAUCAAAGUUGACGUUCAAAAGGUUAGAACGGGUUAAAUUCGUUAAGGAUGUUGACGUAAUGGCUUUAAACGACCCGUCUUGAAACACGGACCAAGGAGUCUAACAUAUAUGCGAGUGUUC